UUGGGGAAAUGUGUGUGUGUGUGUGUGUGUGUGUGUGUGUGUGUAUGGGGGGGUCUUAAUUGAUUCCGUUAACCGCAGUGCAGGAGAUGUGAACGACUGGACGAUCCCAUUCCCACGCUCGGUGGGGCAAGUGGCAAUGCCAUGCCCGGGCCCAAUAUAUGACAGACACAGCGCCGUGAGGGCCUGCUGGAGGGGCCGGGGGGAUAGGGGGGGAUAGGGGGGGGCGACAGGGGUCAUGAAAAGACGUCAAGUGCACCAGACUCAUCUGCAUCCCAAAAAGAAAAGAGGCGACGUUUUCCCAUGCAGCCCCAAGCCGACGACGCGGCGCUCCUAUAAUAAACUUGGAGUAGUAACGGUCGUGAAUGUCUCGCCAAUUGUGCUGAUAAUGAGGACUUUGGGGUCAUUAUCUUAAAACUAUGCAGGGGUUUAUGAAUUUGAAAGGGGGAUGGUUUUGCUGCUGCAUGCUGCAACAUUAUAAUCCUGCAUGCAUGGGAUCCAGGCUGUUGUUGUAUAUAUAUAUAUAUACACUCCUCCUGAGAAUUAUUAUAGUAGCUAUAAUGUUGCAUUUCAAUAGGGGACGUUUAUGCGCAUUGUUUGCGUUUGAACUUGACCAUGAAGGGAUUUGAGAUCAAGUUUGCUGGAAGGGAAAUUAGUUAUGGGCAUGUAUUAUUUAUAGACAAAAUAUAUAAUAUUGGUGGAUCAGAAUGCACACUUAUAAUUACAUACAUUUUAAUAGGGCCUUCUCAGAUAUUAAAACAAUAUAUUAUUUGAUUAAUGCUUUAAUUAGUAAGUUUUAUAAUAAUAAGAAUUUUGCAGUUAUAGCUGAGUUGCACUUAUUUCGUCAUAAAUAAGUGAUAGUUUCUUUCCAAAACCCCACAGACACAGUUUGGAGAGGCUUUUACGCACCUGGUUUUACCUGUCAGGUGAUGUUCUGUUUCCGGAGCAGACCACGUGAUUAAAACAGGCCCUGAUCGUUUUAAUAACAUGUUUUGACAACUCGAGAAUUCCCUUCGUUCAAGUGAUGGAGAAAGAGAGCUGUGGUGAACUGCAGGCAGCAGGAAGUAGAGGUCAAGACGAGAUCUCUGGGAUUUUGCUCUCUACUGGACCCACGUGAGGUUGGAUGGAGACCUUGUAGAUCAUGACCCAGAAACAAAUGGCAUAAUGGCUGGAGUCUCCAGGCUAAAGACGUCAAGGAUAUUCAGCUGAUCUCAGAGGUAUACCUCCUGAUCGACUAGAGAGGAGCCUGAAUACCAUCAAGAUGGGAGCUUAAAGAUGUCCAUAAAUCUCACAAGCUUCACAUUACUCUUCAACACCUGGACCUGCAGUGUGCUCUUUAUAUCUGUCAACUGGUUAUAAAAGAUUAUUUGGCCAAACUGACAAAUACUGUGAACUUGCACUAAUAAACCAAUUUAUUUAUAUAUAUAUAUAUUUUAUUUUUAUAUGUGAGACUAGAAAAUAAGAUGAAAAUAUUCUUCACAUUGAAACUUGUAUUCAUUUCAUGUAAUUGAUUGAGUCUAACAAGUAUAUUUUUGACAGCUAAAUAAAAGCAUUUUUUUCCCUUUAAGUGAUGUUUUAGUGCGAGUUAUUUCCUCCUCUCUGUGUAGUGCUUUGGCACUCCAGGUAAAGAACAAUGUGCUUGACAUAAUUGGGUCCUAUUUGGUUAUGAAAAGAGCACGCGUGCUGAUAAAAGCUGGCAGGGUGAUCAAAGCGCCACGCGUCCCGAUCAAAAUCCUACACCUGACACAGUUGUAGUUUAUCCUGACAGACUAACGAAAUGUGGGGAAACAGGUUCAGACGGUACCAAGAAGCCUCCCUGUUUAAAAUCGGCUGUGCUGUUUUUGGUGUACUACUGUAUGUCUGUCAAAUCAAACGUACCUGUACGUGCAAAAUCUGGAACAACAAUUAAAUACUAGAAUAAUCCUA